rnacentral:rRNA from 1 species
UACGUAGGCAGCAAGCGUUGUUCGGAGUUACUGGGCGUAAAGGGUGCGUAGGUGGCUCUAUAAGUAUGGUGUGAAAUCUCCCGCUUAACUGGGAGGGUGCGCCGUAGACUGUGGGGCUAGAGUGUGGGAGAGGAAAGUGGAAUUCCUGGUGUAGCGGUGAAAUGCGUAGAUAUCGGAAGGAACACCUGUGGCGAAAGCGGCUCACUGGACCAUUACUGACGCUGAUGCACGAAAGCUAGGGGAGCAAACAGG